rnacentral:rRNA from 1 species
UUGACCUCAGAUCAGACAA